UUGUUGUCUGAUGUUGAGAGGUCUGUUCUGCUGUUGCCUUUGGAAUACUCUGCCUGGGCUCUGGAUUAUCUUUUCCUUUACCUUGUGAUCCCACAUAGAGCGCCUCCUGCUGCAUGAAGUUGUUGUAGCAGCGGUGAGUCAGCUGACCAGACCAGAGCUCCUUGAGGAAGGAGGACGAGCGGAGAAUCUCCUCCGCCAAGAAGUAGCUGUUGCCCCACACAACAUCAAACAGACUCAGAACGGGAACGAUGCCUCAGAUAAAGAGGGGAAGAAAAUCAAAAUGUUGUUGCUAUGUGAUGUUAAAUAGUCCUGCACAGGGAUGUGCACAAAUAUUUUUGGGGACGGGGGCUCAAGUGUAUAAAAGUUAAAUAUAUUAACACAACUUUGAA